rnacentral:rRNA from 1 species
UACAGAGGUCUCAAGCGUUGUUCGGAUUCAUUGGGCGUAAAGGGUGCGUAGGUGGCGUCGUAAGUCGGGUGUGAAAUUUCGGAGCUUAACUCCGAAACUGCAUUCGAUACUGCGGUGCUUGAGGACUGGAGAGGAGACUGGAAUUUACGGUGUAGCAGUGAAAUGCGUAGAGAUCGUAAGGAAGACCAGUGGCGAAGGCGGGUCUCUGGACAAUUCCUGACACUGAGGCACGAAGGCCAGGGGAGCAAAACGGG